rnacentral:rRNA from 1 species
AGCCUUACACAUGCAAGUCGAACGGUAACAGGAAGCAGCUUGCUGCUUCGCUGACGAGUGGCGGACGGGUGAGUAAUGUCUGGGAAACUGCCUGAUGGAGGGGGAUAACUACUGGAAACGGUAGCUAAUACCGCAUAACGUCGCAAGACCAAAGAGGGGGACCUUCGGGCCUCUUGCCAUCGGAUGUGCCCAGAUGGGAUUAGCUAGUAGGUGGGGUAACGGCUCACCUAGGCGACGAUCCCUAGCUGGUCUGAGAGGAUGACCAGCCACACUGGAACUGAGACACGGUCCAGACUCCUACAGGAGGCAGCAGUGGGGAAUAUUGCACAAUGGGCGCAAGCCUGAUGCAGCCAUGCCGCGUGUAUGAAGAAGGCCUUCGGGUUGUAAAGUACUUUCAGCGGGGAGGAAGGCGAUAAGGUUAAUAACCUUGUCGAUUGACGUUACCCGCAGAAGAAGCACCGGCUAACUCCGUGCCAGCAGCCGCGGUAAUACGGAGGGUGCAAGCGUUAAUCGGAANUUACUGGGCGGUAAGCGCACGCAGGCGGUCUGUUCAAGUCGGGAUGGU